UACAGAGGUCUCAAGCGUUGUUCGGAUUCAUUGGGCGUAAAGGGUGCGUUAGGCGGCGAGGUAAGUCGGAUGUGAAAUCUCAGGGCUCAACCCUGAAACUGCAUUCGAUACUGCCUUGCUCGAGGACUCGAGAGGAGAUUGGAAUUCACGGUGUAGCAGUGAAAUGCGUAGAUAUCGUGAGGAAGACCAGUGGCGAAGGCGGAUCUCUGGAGAGUUCCUGACGCUGAGGCACGAAGGCCAGGGGAGCAAACGGG
rnacentral:rRNA from 1 species